UACGUAGGGUGCAAGCGUUAAUCGGAAUUACUGGGCGUAAAGCGUGCGCAGGCGGUUAUGCAAGUCAGAUGUGAAAUCCCCGGGCUCAACCUGGGAACUGCCUUUGUGACUGCAUAGCUAGAGUACGGUAGAGGGGGAUGGAAUUCCGCGUGUAGCAGUGAAAUGCGUAGAUAUGCGGAGGAACACCGAUGGCGAAGGCAAUCCCCUGGACCUGUACUGACGCUCAUGCAUGAAAGCGUGGGGAGCAAACAGG
rnacentral:rRNA from 1 species